rnacentral:rRNA from 1 species
GAUGAACGCUGGCGGCGUGCCUAAUACAUGCAAGUCGAGCGAAUGGAUUAGGAGCUUGCUCUUAUGAAGUUAGCGGCGGACGGGUGAGUAACACGUGGUUAACCUGCCCAUAAGACUGGGAUAACUCCGGGAAACCGGGGCUAAUACCGGAUAACAUUUUGAACCGCAUGGUUCGAAAUUGAAAGGCGGCUUCGGCUGUCACUUAUGGAUGGACCCGCGUCGCAUUAGCUAGUUGGUGAGGUAACGGCUCACCAAGGAAACGAUGCGUAGCCGACCUGAGAGGGUGAUCGGCCACACUGGGACUGAGACACGGCCCAGACUCCUACGGGAGGCAGCAGUAGGGAAUCUUCCGCAAUGGACGAAAGUCUGACGGAGCAACGCCGCGUGAGUGAUGAAGGCUUUCGGGUCGUAAAACUCUGUUGUUAGGGAAGAACAAGUGCUAGUUGAAUAAGCUGGCACCUUGACGGUACCUAACCAGAAAGCCACGGCUAACUACGUGCCAGCAGCCGCAGUAA